rnacentral:rRNA from 1 species
GAUGAACGCUGGCGGCGUGCCUAAUACAUGCAAGUCGAGCGAACGGACGAGAAGCUUGCUUCUCUGAUGUUAGCGGCGGACGGGUGAGUAACACGUGGAUAACCUACCUAUAAGACUUGGAUAACUUCGGGAAACCGGAGCUAAUACCGGAUAAUAUUUUGAACCGCAUGGUUCAAAAGUGAAAGACGGUCUUGCUGUCACUUAUAGAUGGAUCCGCGCUGCAUUAGCUAGUUGGUAAGGUAACGGCUUACCAAGGCAACGAUGCAUAGCCGACCUGAGAGGGUGAUCGGCCACACUGGAACUGAGACACGGUCCAGACUCCUACGGGAGGCAGCAGUAGGGAAUCUUCCGCAAUGGGCGAAAGACUGACGGAGAAACGCCGCGUGAGUGAUGAAGGUCUUCGGAUCGUAAAACUCUGUUAUUAGGGAAGAACAGAUGUGUAAGUAACUGUGCACAUCUUGACGGUACCUAAUCAGAAAGACACGGCUAACUACGUG